AUUGAACGCUGGCGGCAGGCCUAACACAUGCAAGUCGAGCGGAGCGGCGGACGGGGGAGUAAUGCCUAGGAAUCUGCCUGGUCGUGGGGGAUAACGUCCGGAAACGGGCGCUAAUACCGCAUCCUAUCAGAUGAACCUAGGUCGGAUUAGCUGGUUGGUGGGGUAAAGGCCUACCAAGGCGACGAUCCGUAACUGGUCUGAGAGGAUGAGCAGUCACACUGGAACUGAGACACGGUCCAGAUUCCUACGGGAGGAAGCAGUGGGGAAUAUUGGAAAAGGGGCGAAAGCCUGAUCCAGCCAUGCGGCGUGUGUGAAGAAGGUCUUCGGAUUGUAAAGCACUUUAAGUUGGGAGGCGUUACCAACAGAAUAAGCACCGGCUAACUUCGUGCCAGCAGCCGCGGUAAUUC
rnacentral:rRNA from 1 species